CCUACGGGAGGCAGCAGUGGGGGAUAUUGCACAAUGGGGGGAACCCUGAUGCAGCGACGCCGCGUGGGUGAUGGAGCGUUUCGGCGCGUAAAGUCCUAUCGUUAGAGAAGAUGAUGACGGUAUCUGACGAAUAAGCACCGGCUAACUCCGUGCCAGCAGCCGCGGUAAUACGGAGGGGGCAAGCGUUACCCGGAUUUACUGGGGGUAAAGGGGGCGCAGGCGGGAAAGCAAGUCAGGAGUGAAAGCCCAGGGCCCAACCCCAGGACUGCUCUUGAAACUGUAAUGCUAGAGUAUGGGAGGGGCAGGUGGAAUUCUUGGUGUAGGGGUAAAAUGCGUAGAGAUUAAGAGGAACACUCAUGGCGAAGGCGACCUGCUAGAAUAUAACUGACGCUGAGGCGCGAAGGCGUGGGGAGCAAACAGGAUUAGAUACCCCGGUAGUC
rnacentral:rRNA from 1 species